AGGAAGUAAAAGUCGUAACAAGGUUUCCGUAGGUGAACCUGCGGAAGGAUCAUUAUCGUAUGACCGAAGGUACGAGGGGCUGUCGCUGACCCUUCAAGGUUGUGCACGCCCUUCGUGUCCUUCAAACACACAAUCCACAUCACCUUUGUGCAUCNCCGCGUGGGCCCCCCUCGUGAAAAAGGAGGGCUUGCGUUUUUCCACAUAGACACCCUUCAUAUGCAGCAUAGAAUGUCUUACAUUUUGCGAUCAUUCGCAAUCAAUACAACUUUCAACAACGGAUCUCUUGGCUCUCGCAUCGAUGAAGAACGCAGCGAAAUGCGAUACGUAAUGUGAAUUGCAGAAUUCAGUGAAUCAUCGAAUCUUUGAACGCACCUUGCGCCCCUUGGCAUUCCGAGGGGCACACCCGUUUGAGUGUCGUGAAAAUCUUCAACCUUUUUUCGUAUUACGGAGAAGGCUUGGACUUUGGAGGCUUUUUGCUGGCCCCUCUUCUCGGAGCUGGCUCCUCUUAAAUGCAUUAGCGGGGUCCACUUUGCCGGUCCUAGACGUGAUAAGCCCUUUUCUACGUCCAGAGAGGCAGAGAGUGACUUUUGCUUCUAAUCGUCUCAUGCAGACAAUGGUGGUUGAUGUCGAAUCCACGAACGCUCUUGACCUCAAAUCGGGUGAGACUACCCGCUGAACUUAAGCAUAUCAAUAAGC
rnacentral:rRNA from 1 species